UAAAAGGAGAGAGAGAGAUUCGUCAAAAGAGAAGGAAGCAUAAGCCACACAGGAGCCGAGCAAAAGAAGAAGAAAAGGGUUUUUGGUGGCUUCAAACUGAGAGAAAUCAAAUCGUAGCCGUUGAAUCGUAUUUCUCUCAAUCAGACGGUUUACAUCUCUGUAUUGAUAUCUUCUUACUCCGGUGGUGAAGAGAAAGAAAGGCGGUGUACAGGUUGCCGUAAAAAGAGAGACAAACAGAGGCGCGAUCUCUCAGAUCUGGCCGUCUGGUGAGUAGUCUAAUCAACUUCAUUCAUUCAAUUUUUUUGUAGAUUGUAUUUCUUUUUGUUAUGUGUUUGUUGUUCUUUGAUUCGUUAUUCACUUGUCAGUUUUAUUUAAAUUUGUUUGAGAGGACGAAAGAAUAGUGAUUUUCAGCGGAAUUAUUGGUUUUUUAAGAUUAUUUUAGUUUUUUUUUCUUUUUCGGUAUUAUUUUUUAGUAAUUGAAUGAAAAUGAGAGUUUCGAGUUAAAUGUAACUAUGUAAGUUAUUGCGAGAUUAAGAGUUUAUGUUAUUGGAUAAAAAUGAGAGUUUCGAGUGUGAUACUGCUGAGUAAUUAAUUAGAUUCUACAGAUUUUAUUGUGUAAACACGUGUAUAAAGCGAUUUUCAGUUUUAUAAGUAAUUUAUAGCUUUGCAUUGAUUGUGAAAUAUAGGUUUAACAGUUUUUUUAGCUAUAACUCUUAAGUAUCAAGGAAACGUAGGUUUUAGUGUUAAUUCCGAUUCUUGAAGAUCUUGACAAAGAUCUGUUUAGUGUGAUGUAUUGGUUUUCAAUGGCUAAUUAGUUUUGUUUUAUUGCAAUUCUUGAUUAAGUGCGUAAAUUUAUUAAGUUUUGUGUGUGUUCACAGAUUGUGGUUCACUGCUAUAAUCCGGGUCAUCAGAUGGCUCUUUCGAUGUAACAUUUGGGAUCUUGAUCAUUCGCUGUUGGUUGUUUGACGUGCGAGUGAUUGAUAGUGUUCUUGUGUUCGGUGGUAACAACUUUG
rnacentral:lncRNA from 1 species